ACACCAAGACAGUCACAUGAGUGCAAUGAUUCAUUUAGUAGAAAUCUAAAAAAUACAGUCAGACAUUUUUAUGGACACUGAAAAUCCACUAACAUAUCUGAUUAAAUAUCACUCCUAAUAACCCAAUUUGAACACUUGUGUUGUACUAAACUGACCUGAUCAGCUUCAAGUUAAAUGCAAUUCAAGGCAAACUGACGAAAGCAGAGGAAGUGAGGAUGGACACACGGCACGGAGCCUCACCUUUCCUCAAGAAGGGAGAUUUGUCGGGGUUCAUGUACUCCUUAGGGACCAGGCUGAAGUUGGACAUUUUG